UUAAUACACCGGUAGUUCAACAAUCUUAGUUUUUUUUUUCUAAGAUACCUUCUGUUUGAUUAGGGAUGGAGAGUGCAGUAAGUCAAUACGAUAUAUAUGACGAGCAGUUGCAGGAUCAAAGUGCAGAAGUAAAAUCUCUGCCACUAGAAUUUUUGAAAGCCAUAACAUGCAAUUUUUCCACUGAACGAGAAAUUGGCAAGGGUGGGUAUGGAGUGGUUUACAAGGGUGUUCUCGGGAGUGGUCGUGUUAUUGCUGUGAAGAAGCUUAUUGGAAAUGUACACUUGGAUGAUGCUGAGUUUAUAGAGGAGGUCAUUAAUCUUGUGGGGAUCAAGCACCAAAAUGUAGUACAACUUGUAGGUUUCUGUGCUGAAACAAAGAAGGAAUUAUGGUCCAUGGGCGGAAAGAAUAUUUUGGCUGACGUACCUACUCGGUUGCUCUGCUUCGAGUACCUAUGCAAGGGAAGCCUUGAUAAGUAUAUUUCCGAUGAAUCUUCGGGCCUCGACUGGAACUCGAGAUACAAGAUUAUUAAGGGAAUUUGUAGAGGUUUACAUUUCCUUCAUACGGAACACAAGAUUGUUCAUCGGGACCUGAAACCUGAAAAUAUAUUGAUGGAUGCUGAUAUGGUGCCGAAAAUUGCGGAUUUUGGUUUGUCAAAGCUCUUGGGUGAACAAAAAUCCCAAACUAUGACUAAAACUAAGCCGGGAUCACUUGGAUAUAUGGCACCAGAAUACCUAAUGGAAGGCGUAAUAUCCCACGAGGCAGAUAUAUUCAGUUUGGGUGUUAUAAUUAUAGAGAUACUCACUGGAGCAAAGAACUAUCCCUAUGGUUUCCAGAGAACCGAAACAGGAUCUAUCCAACAGUUUGCGGGCAAAGUAAGAUCAGUAAUUCUAGCUUUUGCAUAUCAUUAUUUCUAGCUCACUUAUGCAAAUGUGUAGGUGUGUGGAAGUUGGACGACCAUAUUUCAAGCAGAAUCAUCACUGGAAAUUUAUACCCAACAAGUGGAAAAAUGCAUCGACAUAGCCCUAAAAUGUGUGGACCCUAUCAGAAAGAAAAGGCCUAAUGCAUCGGACAUAAUUGAAGCUCUUGAUACUGCAUAAAGAAGUUGAGGUGUUGAAAAUGUCAAAGUUUCAAUGCUGGACCAGGUUAUUGACGUGUAUCAGUAGAAGAAAAUAAAGAAAGCGUUGAGAAAAUGGGAAAAUAAGGAAAUGUUGACAGUGAAGUAAAUUAGUGGUCGUUCUUCUUAAAAACUUGUUCUUCUUAAAGUCAUCAAAAUUUACAAUUAAUUGGGGUACUGACCUGCUAUACAGUAAGCAUUCACUACUUAAGGAAGCAGUGAAUA